UGCGGGGUGGAGCAGUCUGGUAGCUCGUCGGGCUCAUAACCCGAAGGUCGUUGGUUCGAAUCCAGCCCCCGCUACCA
rnacentral:tRNA from 91 species